GAAAAUGAUUGGAACGAGAACUUGCAUGGUCACCAUGUUUGAAGCCGCUCAUGCUAGCCACCAAAAGAACUCCUUUACGGUUAUUUUUCUCGUUUUAAUUCUGUAAUGAUGAAACUUCAUCGAAAUAAAAAGGAAAUAAUUUUUGCGGAGUUACUAAAGAGCUCUGAAUGAAUCGGUAGACUCGUAAACUCGUUAUUAUAUUCAUUUUCAGAAUAUAAAAAUGAAAUACAAAUGCAAUGCCUCGGUUAUUUAAUAAAAACAUUCAGGUUUUAUCCUCGUGUAUAUUUAAAGCGUUCCGUGAUGAAGAAAUAUUGCUCAUAUAUUCUUUCAAAACUGAACAUCAAAAUUAAUUGACUUUCGCUCUAGAUCUUACCAAAUUAUAUAUUUUCCAAUGUGGCUAUAUGUCAGUGUUGCUUCUAUUGGCUUCCACCUAUCAUAUGUCUUGGAAAAUGAAGUUAACAUUCCAUGCAGUAUUCGUAGAGAUGGAUGAAGUAAAUUCUUGAACAUGAUGCACCAGCUGUGGCGGGAGUUGGGUUCUUUGUCUAUGGAGAAUACACAUGCUGUGUAUUUGUGGGGUUGAAGUGUUCCCAAUAGUCAACUUCAGGCCCAUAGACUCAGAUUAUUUAAUGUAAAUACAAUCAGUGGGCAAUCACAUGCAUGGGCGUCCGUAGUUCUCGCGGGCUCAUGUGCGUGAUCGGCGCAGUCUUCGGCGCAGUCUUUCAUCCGUUGCGCACGUUGUAACCAAUAAUCUGUUGGCGUUGUAAUGCCAUUGUAUGCAGUAAAGUAUUGGGUUGUAACUGAAGACAAACCCACAAGCAUUGGACAAAAGUUCUAAUUGUAAAUGUAAUUAGCAUCAAAUGGAGGUAGGCGGGGUGGGCGUUGUUCUUUUUCAUACAUAUUAUAUACCUGUAAGUGAUUUAUAAAAGACGAGUCACAAACACUGAUCAUUUAAUUCGCUGUAUUAGAAUGAAAAAAUAAUAUUAAUUAUAUUCACCAUCUGCUCGUAGGCUACGUCAUAUGCAGACGCAGUAUAACCUUACUUGAAAGCAAAUAGUGGAACGAAGAGAUGUUGUUUAAUUUUCUUGAUCGUACUGAUAAUGCUUACCGAAACCAAGUAUUAGUUAACGUGUAGAAAGCUUAAGGGCAUAGGUUGUUUUCCCUUCCGAUCGCUUUGCACGGGACAUGCAUGACCUGUUACGUCACCUGCAUGCAGGUGUAAGUAUACAGUCUUGGGACACACACGAGCGCGCGAGAAUAUGGCAUUUAGGUGGACGCUUUUUCCGAGAAUACUUGAUUUUUUCAGAUUUAAAUAUAGUAACCAAAUAAGUGACUGAUUCAUUAUACAUUCUAUUAUGUGUUGUUUGCUGUUCUAAUAUAUAACCAUGUGAAUAACCAUUAUCGAUCUAUUUUGUACCCUAGGUCACAAGUUAUCUUACUGCAUUGGUAUUAUCUUACGCCGUCGCUUUUAUUGUCACAGUCGUGGUGGAACAGCCUUGCGCAAACCUCGAGGCCUUGGUUUGGAAGAAAGUAGAAAAGAAAUAGAAGUCAUUUAUACGGAGUACAAUAUGUUGGCUGUUGGACAUUUGCUGUUGACAUGUUUUAGUUAAUCUAGUUUAAAUUUAUUCAUAAACGCUCGGACACGGGGAGUGCGGACAUCGCCGGAUACGCCAAAUGUUGUUAUUUUGUAUUUUCGACCGUUUUUUUUUAAAUAUCUCCGUGAUGAAUUGGAGCGAGUGCAGAAGAGAGCCUUGAGUUGUGUAUUCCUAGGCAUCCCGUAACAUGAUCAGGGCCGUAGCUAAGCAUGUAUAAUAGGUUUUGUUUGUGGAAACACACGUAAAUUUAUUACUGCAAAUGUGCAGUAAUAAAUUUACGUGGUGUUUCCACAAACAAAACCUAUUAUAUUUUAUCACCAUGCAAACAUACAAAGAACUUAUUAAGCAUGUAUAGUUUUGUAGGCCAAAAAUUUCCGAAUGACGAAAAAAAUUUCCGAAUUUCAUGGCAUACGAAGCCAGGAAGGUGUUUGCUAUCCGGGAAAUGAAGACGCAAUUCACAAACAAAAAUACGAUAUUUU